UCCCUCUUAGCUCAGUUGGUAGAGCGCGUCACUAGUAUUCAAUAGCGUCACGUUAGAUACUGAUGACGAGGUCAGUCGUUCAAGUCGGCUAGAGGGAA